rnacentral:lncRNA from 1 species
UUGAUCAAGACAAUUAAAACCCUGCAACAACUAUUAAUCUUUUCUUUUAUUUCAUUUUCUAAUAAAUUAUGCUAAUUAUCGAGUUGAACUACAUCCACGUGGAGACAAUAACUUACUGUUUUUUUUUUUUUACUAUAAUAUGAUUGAAUGCACUUGCCUAUUUCGUCCAUCAGGUACAUUUCUCAAUCAUCACAUGUACAAAAUCCAGUUCCGAAUUCAAGAAAUAAAAUUUUGGCUUUGUACACCUCGCUAUCUAAUAAAUUAUGCUAAUUAUCGAGUUGAACUACAUCCAUGUGGAGACAAUAACGUACUGUUUUUUUUUUACAUAAUAUGAUUGAAUGCACUUGCCUAUUUCGUCCAUCAGGUACAUUUCUCAAUCAUCACAUGUACAAAAUCCAGUUCCGAAUUCAAGAAAUAAAAAUUUUGGCUUUGUACACCUCGCUAUCUUAGGAAAUUUGCAAAACUCUAUUUUUAUACAAUCAUCUGUUUUUUUACAUCUCCAACCUGUUGGAAUGAAAAAAGAGAAUAAAACAAUGUUACUAAAAUGGAAUAAAGUAUCAUGUAUACCUAAGGAAAUUAAAAAAGGUUUAAAGUGGCUUACCUUCAACGCUCAUUGUAAUAAAAAAAAGGGAAAUAAAGAUAAUUAUAACAUAAAUAUAUUUUCCAAUUUCAGCCAUAUUUUCUCCCUUAUGCAUUCAAUAAAUAAAAUGUGGUUUUAUCGCUUUAUAAUUUAUAAAAUAUAUCAUCUUUUUAUAUACACAAAAUAACUUUUAGAGGUUAUCGAGUUGUAGAAAAUUGUCUCUUAAGUAUAUUAAAGUGUUGCGUUUCUCCUUUCGUACGCUUGUAAAGUUCAACAUCUCCUCCUAAAACAAGAAUCAUUAUUAAAUGCCUAUAAAUUACAUAAAAGUAAUGUGUUUGUCACUUUGACACACUUAGUGCAAAGCUCGCGUGAAAACUUUACCAUUCAUAAGAAAUUGUUCUUAUUUUACCAUAUUUCCAAUAUUUUCUAUCCUUUCACAUAAGAGAAAAGAAAGAGUCGCAAGAGGUAUAAUAUUGUUCGAUUUCAUGUGAUUCCUAGGCUAUUAUAGAGUUAUCGUUGUUAUAUGUUAUACUAGUGUGUAUACCUGUGCACCACAUGGGAAAUAUUCAUUUUAAAAUUAUCUAAAAUACUUUAAACUUCAUAGAUGGGACAAAUGCCUAUAGGAAUGGAACACCUUGUCGGAUGAUUCCAAAGCGACCAAUGGUUAUAUAUUUAGCAUAGCUAGAGGAGCUAUUUCUUUGAAAUCUAAGAAACAAACCAUUUUAUCUAAGUCCACAAUGGAAUCUGAGAUGAUAGCACUAGCUACUGCUAGUGAGGAAGCAAUUUGGCUAAGAUUCUUGCUAGUGUAGUUGGAUGCAAGGAUGGUCUUCAAGAAGGCAGAAGGCAUUCCGAUGGUUGAAGAGAUUGGGGGAAACUUGUGGAGCUACAAGGUGUAGAUGGAAAGCAAAGGAAGACAAAGCAUGGGGAGAGCAGAAUGGUGGUUGAUAGUUAAAUGGUUGAAUUGGCAUCAUCGCCAAUUUAAAGUCAAGGUGGAGAAUUGUUGAAAAUUGACUCAAAAUGGAAGUUUGGGAAUCUGCCAAAAUCGUACCACGAUUUUUGGACUAGUUUUUGGACUUUUGAUUCGGGAAAAAUCGUAGCACGGUUUUGUGCUGAAGGGAAAAAAAGAAACGUAUCUUCAGCAUGACAUCCGUUCUAAAUUUCUGAGUUAUUUAACAAGGGUUUAUACCCAACAAGAAAACUAGGGUUUGUAGAAAAUUCUCUUGGCAACAAACAAUAGGGUUGAGAUUGAUUUACCUUGGGAAACACUAUUAGGAUUGAGUCUCUUGGUCACGAGAAGAGAUUCGAACUUUGGGUAAAAUUAGGUUUUGUUGAGUGUAACACACCGUUUUCCCAACUUGAAAGUUUCUCAUAAAAAUCAGAGUAAAACACCUUAAACGGAAUGCUACACUUUUUAAAAAUCAUACAUGGAAUAAUUAACUAAUUUUCCUUCAAAAGUAUACAACAUAAUAAUUAAUACUCCAUGGUUUGUCAUCAACAAGAACUUCAACGAUUCAACGACGACAACGUCAACCUGACAAGACAGCUACGUGAGAGUACACCACCUCUUAUAAUACGACAACGUAAGGGUACACCACCUCUUAUAAAACAACAACGUAAGCGUACACCACCUCUUAUAAACAACAACGUAAGAGUACACCACCUCUCACAAAACACCUGAACAUAAAUAGUCACCAACAACAGCUUCAACUACAACUUCAAAAACUUAGACAACAUUAACAACUUAAGACUCCAAUACUUUGGAAAGACAACUUACAACUUGACACCAUAGACCAACACCAUUUAAUCGUAUGCAGCAAGUCACCAUCAAUAAUAAUCAUCAUAUAUAACAAUUACAAUUUCAUAUCAACGUCUUUCACAAUAUAUAAAUAGUUUCACAUUUAAUCAUCAAAGUAAAUCAUCA